rfam:Anolis carolinensis chromosome 4, whole genome shotgun sequence.
CCAAAGGUCUUUAUCAAGACCACUGCUAAUAAUUAUGUCUUUUAAU